rnacentral:rRNA from 1 species
AGCUGCCGCGGUAAUUCCAGCUCCAAUAGCGUAUAUUAGUGUUGUUGCGGUUAAAAAGCUCGUAGUUGAAUUUCGGGAUUGGGAUAUAUCGAUCAUGGCUUUAGGGACAUGAAUUGAUGUGUGGUCAAUUCUCACCUUCUGGUGAAUCGGGAUGCUCUCGGGUGUUUCGGUGAAUCAGGACUUUUACUUUGAAAAAAUUAGAGUGUUUAAAGCAGGCAUUUUUGCUUGAAUAUAUUAGCAUGGAAUAAUAAAAUAGGACGUUGGUUCUAUUUUGUUGGUUUUAGGACCUCGUAAUGAUUAAUAGGGAUAGUUGGG